GACGAACGCUGGCGGCGUGCUUAACACAUGCAAGUCGAACGGAAAGGCCUGCUUUCCCUUGUGGAUUGCGGGUACUCGAGUGGCGAACGGGUGAGUAACACGUGAGUGAUCUGCCCCCAACUUGGGUAUAAGCCUGGGAAACUGGGUCUAAUUCCCGAUAGGACUGCAGGGUGGUGCCUGUGGUGGAAAACGAUUUUCUAGUGGUUGGGGAUGAGCUCGCGGCCUAUCAGCUUGUUGGUGGGGUAAUGGCCUACCAAGGCGGGGACGGGUAGCCGGCCUGGGAGGGUGGACGGCCACAUUGGGACUGAGAUACGGCCCAGACUCCUACGGGAGGCAGCAGUGGGGAAUAUUGCACAAUGGGCGGAAGCCUGAUGCAGCGACGCCGCGUGGGGGAUGACGGCCUUCGGGUUGUAAACUCCUUUCGACCGCGAGGAAGCCACCUGGUUGGAAGGGUGGUGACGGUAGUGGUAGAAGAAGCACCGGCUAACUACGUG
rnacentral:rRNA from 1 species